rnacentral:rRNA from 1 species
UGCGUAGGGUGCAAGCGUUGUCCGGAAUUAUUGGGCGUAAAGAGCUCGUAGGCGGUUUGUCGCGUCGGCUGUGAAAACUCGGGGCUCAACCCCGAGCCUGCGGUCGAUACGGGCAAACUAGAGUGCUGUAGGGGAGACUGGAAUUCCUGGUGUAGCGGUGAAAUGCGCAGAUAUCAGGAGGAACACCGGUGGCGAAGGCGGCCUACUGGGCCAGCACUGACGCUGAGGCGCGAAAGCUCGGGGAGCGAACGGG